AGGCGUAAGGAUGUGUAGGCCAAGAAAUUAUCCAAGAAGGUAACNNNGAAUUUUUCUGGAGCGGUAGAAUGUGAGGAUAGAAAAUAGAACUCCUAAGGUUAAAACUAUUUACCACAAGGCAGGCUGAAACAUGAGAGUGUGGGGAGCAAACAGGAUUAGAGACCCUGGUAGUCCACACUGUGAACUUUGAAGAUGAUGCUUAGCAGACCCGAAAGGUAAAAUCUUCCGCCUGAGUAGUACGAUCGCAAGAUUAAAAUUCAAAAACUUUGGCUGUUCACUAUUUCGAUUAGAGGAGCGUGUAGUUUAAUUCGAUGGUCCGCGUGUUACCUUACCCCAACUUGAAUCCGUGACCGGUAUUGCAUGGCCGUCGUAAGUCCGUGUGUUAAGCUAGAAGGGACCCAACCCGGGCACACGCCCGGAGGAAGUCAGGUCUUAUGAUCCGAAUGUUGGGGGGUCUUAUGCGCUACAUUUUCUUAUAUAAUGGGAGACCUGGAAGGUGAACCUCUAAAGUAAGAGUUCGGNAAGGUCGCUGUAAGACGACUGGAAGUUGGAUUUAAUAGUANUCGGAAAGUAGGG
rnacentral:rRNA from 1 species